rnacentral:lncRNA from 1 species
GGACUUUUGAUUUAUCAUGAACCCACAGCUCUGUGGUGCUGGGAAUGACAGUGCAUGUAACUGGCAAUUAAAAUCUUCUGAAAAAGGAGAGAUAAAACAUACUCUUCAUACUGUCACUGAGAACUGGAAAAACAGCCUGGAAGAAGCAGCGAUGCUUAUGAUGACCAUGCUCCUUUCCUUUUUGCCUGGUAUUGAAAGUGGGAAGAGAGCUGGCUUAGAUGUGAUGCUUUCUAAAUGAAGAGUUUAUGGAAUUAAAGAAAGCUGGGAGAAGAGAUACAUAUUGAAAAGCAGAACAGAAAAUAAGUGACAAUGAUAACUGUGGAACUAUAAUCUGCUGCUCCUAUUUACUUUACCUAAUCUUAAAGCCAAUAGCUGUUGUCUGUGUGAUACCUCAUACUUUUAGAAUGCUAUUGCAGGAAGUUAGUGGUGAUCUCUCACAUUAGAAAAGGAAUUGAUGAAAAAAGUGCAAGACUCUUUCUGAAGAGCAGUCCUGACUGUGCUCCCUUCCAGCUUCUUUUGCACUAACUUGCUGGCAGAGCUUGGGAAACUGAAAAUCACUGACUUAAGGUAAGCCCUACUUAGCAACAAACAAAACAUCAGUGUGCUGUCAUUAUGAUUUUCAUACCAAAUCCAAAGCACAGCACUGUACCAGUGCAUAAGAAGAAAAUUGACUCUAUUCCAGCCAAAACUGGAAAGAAUUGUUGGUUGAUUAGACAGUUCCUUGCUUCACAAUGGUGUUUGGAGAUUUCUGAGAGGUGUGACACGUAAGGAUAACAAAGGCUAGAACAAAUGGAAUCUGAAACCACUUUAUAUAUAUGUAUGCUGAAGUAGAAACAACCUUGCCUGUAUUGAUAUAUUUACCCCCUCUUCAUACACUUGAUGUGUCACUUGGAAACAAAAAGAAAUCCUGCAGGUCAUUCCUCUGAAUCUCAGCUGCUCAGCCUGCAGAAGCUGCACUGCAUCAAUGAUCCUGAGGGAGAUGUAUGUAGAUAAAAUUUGAAAGUUACAAUAAACUAAUUUGGUGUUG